rnacentral:lncRNA from 1 species
AAAGUAUUAACAGUAGACUCUCAAGACAAAAGGACCCCAUUCAACAACAGGAGAAAAAAAACACACACACACACACACACACUGUACCCGGAUGACAAGAACCAUAUAUAAUUCAAGGCAGCAAUAUACAAGAGAGAUAGAGCGACUUCCAUAUCCUCUCCAAACACUCACUGCCGACAGCCAAAUUUAGCCAACAUUCAAGAGAUAUCACCAUACCAUAUAAUUUCAUCGCCACAAGACAACGGACCACAGCAGCAAAUAUAUUGAAAUUCCACAACACAAACCACUCAGCAUAGCGUGAUCAACAGGAAACUUAAUUCCCAAGCAGAAACUGUCUACAAUGUGUUGUCUGAAUUUGGUAGCUGUAGCUCAGCUGGAAUGCUUGGUACAUUUAUCUCACCUUGCAAUACAGCACAAGAUCCACCCAUCAAGGAAAGAAAUUGCGAGGCACAACAAGGAACUUGAGAAUUAACCAGCAUAAUCGAUCCCAACAGCUACCUCUUCGCAGAGAUAACACUGCCAGCACCUCCAAAGCUCAAAAGAACAACUUCAAAAACACAGCUGCAGCAGCUACACCAGAUCAAGCCAUGAAACUCGAGUAAAAGGCAAGAACACACAAAAUCGACUACGAACUGAUAGCAUCAAUAGCAAAAGAAUUAAAGCAUCAUAACGACAAGACUCCUCUGAAACCUCAUUGAUCAGGCCACCCAUCAAAAUACAGCUAAAGAACAACAACAGUCUCACCCAUCAAACUACAAAUUAACAUUCCUUAUUAGCUUUCACUUCCUUCAAAAGGAAAACAAAAGGAAGAAAAAUGAAAGACAUUGAGUGACGAAACAACCAAGUUAUGCAAAUAUAUUGUGACAGUAGAAAACGAAUUUUGCCUUAAGAUAUUAUAUAAUGACAUGUGCCAAGACUGAACACCUCAAAGCAAGAAUGUAGCGAAAUCAUUCGUAACACAUAAGAGAGACAAUCUGAUAAGCAAUGUCAAUU